rnacentral:rRNA from 1 species
UACGUAGGUGGCAAGCGUUGUCCGGAAUUAUUGGGCGUAAAGGGCGUGUAGGUGGAUUUUUAAGUCGUGUGUCUAAGUGCGGUGCUUAACGCCGUAUAGGCGCAGGAAACUGGGAAUCUUGAGUGCAGGAGAGGAAAGUGGAAUUCCCGGAGUAGCGGUGAAAUGCGUAGAUAUCGGGAGGAACACCAGUGGCGAAGGCGACUUUCUGGACUGUGUCUGACACUGAGGCGCGAAAAGCUAGGGGAGCGAACGGG